rnacentral:rRNA from 1 species
UGGGGAAUUUUGGACAAUGGGCGCAAGCCUGAUCCAGCCAUGCCGCGUGCGGGAAGAAGGCCUUCGGGUUGUAAACCGCUUUUGUCAGGGAAGAAACGCUCUGGGCUAAUACCCUGGGGUAAUGACGGUACCUGAAGAAUAAGCACCGGCUAACUACGUGCCAGCAGCCGCGGUAAUACGUAGGGUGCAAGCGUUAAUCGGAAUUACUGGGCGUAAAGCGUGCGCAGGCGGUUAUGCAAGACAGAUGUGAAAUCCCCGGGCUCAACCUGGGACCUGCAUUUGUGACUGUAUAGCUAGAGUACGGUAGAGGGGGAUGGAAUUCCGCGUGUAGCAGUGAAAUGCGUAGAUAUGCGGAGGAACACCGAUGGCGAAGGCAAUCCCCUGGACCUGUACUGACGCUCAUGCACGAAAGCGUGGGGAGCAAACAGGAUUAGAUACCCUCGUAGUCCCUGAGCGGGCUGGCAAGGCGCAU